rnacentral:rRNA from 1 species
GACGAACGCUGGCGGCGUGCUUAACACAUGCAAGUCGAACGGAAAGGCCCUGCUUUUGUGGGGUGCUCGAGUGGCGAACGGGUGAGUAACACGUGAGUAACCUGCCCUUGACUUUGGGAUAACUUCAGGAAACUUGGGCUAAUACCGGCUAGGAGCUCCUGCUGCAUGGUGGGGGUUGGAAGGUUUCGGCGGUUGGGGAGGGACUCGCGGCUUAUCAGCUUGUUGGUGGGGUAGUGGCUUACCAAGGCUUUGAAGGGUAGCCGGCCUGAGAGGGUGAGCGGCCACAUCGGGACGGAGAUAAGGCCCAGCCCACUCCGGUAGGCAGCAGAGGGGAAGAUUGCACAAUGGGCGGAAGCCUGAUGCAGCAACGCCGCGUGCGGGAAGACGGCCUUCGGGUUGUAAACCGCUUUCGCCUGUGACGAAGCGUGAGUGACGGUAAUGGGUAAAGAAGCACCGGCUAACUACGUG